UUCCUUUUCCUAGAAUAAAAAAUAAUUCUAAGUUUUUUGUCCAUAAAUCUAGAAAUUCUCCAGACUCUCAUAUAUAUAUAGAAUCGUUUAAUAUAUUUGAUACCUUAGUGAGUAAUCUCUUAAUAAACUAACAGAAUAAAUAAAAGACAUAACCAUCUAUUUUGAUUUUGCUAACUUGUCAAAGUUGUCCUCUUAGGUUGCCUUCUAUUGAUCAUUAGCGAAAACGAAAGACACUACCAAAAAAUAAUUAGAUUUCUUUUGUCUUUCUCAAGAAAACCAUAAGUUACCUAACCAAAAAAAAAGGAAGAAAAAAAAAAUAGAUUGGUGUAUUAAGUUCUCACUAUGGUGUAUGCACCAUUAUUCUACAUUUCUACAAUCAUAAGAAUUUAGUACACAUUCUUACCAGGCUUUUUUCCAAGAGGUUAUGUUCAUGAAUCGAACUUGUUAUCUUCUUAUCACAUAGCAGUAACUUUGACAGUCAUGUCAAGACUCCCCUAAUUUCGAACUGGUAGUACAUGAAAUAAAUAUAUUUAACAAAGUGAUCAUUGAAUAAUAACUAAUAAAAAGCAAAACCAUUAAUCAUAUAGAUGGUGCGCUAUCAACUUGCGUAGUGGAAAUUAGCAAUAAUGAAUUGAAACAAGAAUGGCGUUCUUUUUGGGUCCACAUAGAUGGAUCAUCAAGGUUCUAGAUUUCUAAUUUCAAUUUGGACAAACGUAAACUAAUCAGUUUUCAGUUUGAUAUGAAAACAACAACACAUAUAUAAGACAUAAUCAUUAAUUGUUUCUAUUCGAGACUGCAACAGUACAUCGUCUUGAUAUGAAAACAACAAUAAACAAAACAUCGAAUCACCUAAUCCUCUCUUGAGUCUUGCCUAACAAAGCCAAUUAUUUGACUGUAAUUUAAUCUUCGAUUGCAGAUCGAGUCUUAAUUUUGAAUGAAAUUUGUAAUCUUAAGCCUGUAAUAAGGAGGAGAGAAAUACCAACAAGUACUAUGAUAGAGCAUAAGUACUUAUUCAUCCUUAAUUCGAAGUCUGGAAAAUUGAUGGAUGAUUUGCCCAUUCUGCCCAAAAUAUUAUGAGUUGGACACAAAUUAAAGUAAUUUCAUAUUGGGUUGAUUUUAGUUCAACUAAACAUAAUCCAUUUUAAAGUGAUCUUCAAUCCAAUUCUAACUCAUUUUUAAACUUUUAUUUUGAUUUGAGUUUAUCACUUGAGAUUAAUUACUUUCUAUGGGUUGGAGCCAAGUCCCAAAUCAGGAUAGGUUGCACGUUUCGAAUCAAGGUUGGGGUUGGUCACAGUUCUCAUGAUCGGUUUAAGGUUAGGUAUCGAUUUGGGAUAUCUUGGUUCAAGUUCACAUCUCGGGUCGCGUUUUGAGAUUUCAAGUACUUGGGACGUUUUGACUCCUAGGUUAGGUUCGGGUCUAAGGUCUCGAGUAUCGAGUUAAGAUCGAGUCUCAAAUUUUGACUUAGGGUCGAGUAUUGGGUAUUGAAUUAGGAUUAGAUCUUGGUUUAGGGCCUGGCCUGUCGUCCGAUUGCAGUUUGAGUCCUGAGUCAAAUUCAUGUCUCGAGUCUCGAAUCUUGGAUUUUGACUUAUGAUCUGGUCUAGCAUCUAAGUUGUGGGAUAGGUUAGGUCUUUAGUCGUGUCUUGGAUCUCGAGUCUUGUGUACUAGGUCGAUACAGGUUGGGUCCCGAGUUGAGGCAUAGGGUCAAGGCUCGUGUCCUGGGUCUUGGUAAAGGUUGAGUCUUAUAGUCCGAGUCAAGGUGGUGUCUUAGGUUGUGAUUCAGAUCUUGGGUUUUGGGUUAGGGUUGAGUCUUGAAAAUGACAAUCUAAUUCUAUGUGUUUGGUGCAUUCGUGAAAAACUUGAUUUUUAGCUAUAUGAAUUGCGGCUUGAUUAUGGGGAAAGAGGGAGGAGCAGAAAAAUUAGUUAAAAGUUGCACAAUUCAAGCGAUUUCAGCAACUAACCGAUGCAUUGACCAGUACUUAGCCUCCGCAGAUGAGAGAGCAACGACGGGCUAUUUCUUGGAUUUCCAUGAAAUAGGAGAGCCCUCUAAGCUGAGAAAAAAUCCACUUACAAAUUGAAAAGAGUCGGAACAAGCUGCCCAAUCAAUAUCGCAAUAGAUGAAAAGUUGGAACGAGAAAGUAGGAGUCAUAUAUAACCCAAGUCCUGGAUCUUUGCUUAUGUGGCGGAGAGUGUGUAAAGCAGCUUGAUAAUGCCCAGUUCAGGGGACUUGCAUGUAUUGACUUAAAGACUAAACUGCAAAGGAUAAGUUUGGUCGAGUAUUAGUUAAAAAGUUGAGCUUUCCAACUAAUUGCCUAUAAAUGGUAGGAUCGGGCAAUGGAGAACCACAAUCUGCAUAAAGUUUGAGAUUGGGAUCAAGAAGAGAUAAAGCAGUUCUGGAAUCCAAGCAAUUAAAUUCUGCAAAAAGGUACAACGCAAAUUGGUGUUAUGUAAUAAGUAGGCCACCUUGUUCUCGAAUGAGUUCCAGGUCUAAGAAAUAAUGAGCCAACCCAAGAUCCUUGAUCUUGAAUGCAAUGUCAAGAAAAACUUUAAUCACAGAGAUUUCAGACUCAUUAUUGCCCCUGAUAAGGAUAUCGUUGACAUAAACAGCUAUGAUGGUGAUCAAGGAACCAGAAGAUCUGUAAAACAACGAGUAGUCAAUGAGUGAGGAAAUAAAACCUACAAUCCCCAAAUCACAAGACAACCUUGCGUACCAUUGACGAGAGGCUUGUUUAAGCCCGUACAAAGAUUUUCGAAGUCGACAAACAAGUGAAUGUGAAGGAGCAGUGAGUCCCGGAGGUAAUUUCAUGUAUACCACUUCAAUCAAAUCUCCAUGUAAGAUAGAGUUAUUCACAUCCAAUUGAUAAAAAUUCCAACCUCUUUUUACCGCGAUAGCCAGAAUGCAUCUGACAGUAGUGUGUUUAACUACCGAUGAAAAUAUUUUGGUAUAAUCUAAACCUUCCUUUGUGUGUCACCUCGAAUUACUAAUCUUGCUUUAAGUCGUUCCAAGGAUCCAUCAGACUUUAAUUUAACCUUGUAUAUAUUUGCAGGCUAGUGCUUUCUUUUCUUCGGGCAAAUAAACCAUAUCCCAAGUUCAGUUGGCAUCCAACGCCUCAAAUUCUUAUCUUAUUGCAGCUUCCCAGCCUGGAUGUUUGACUGCUUGUUGGUAAGAAACUAAUUCAGAAAUUUGACAAAUAAUGUACCAUCCUCUAAUUGUCAUGUGUUAAAGUAGAAAAAGACAACGAACGCAAGGAAAAAAAAUGAGGAUUAGGAGAAAAAUCAGAAAGUGAAGAAUUGCAUAUAUAGUCUGACAAAAACCUUGUUUUACGAUGCUCUCUUUGUGAUGUUCUCAAAACUGGUCUUGAUGCUGAAGUUUCACUUUCACCUUCAUGUGAAAGUUGUGACAAAGACUGAUCGGUAGGAAAAAUUGGAAUAAGAUAAGAAUGAGGGAUCUGAUAGGAGAAACAAUAGAAUCUAAAUGGGGUGAAGAUGCAAGAGGAACUAAAGUCUGAAUAGGUGAGGAAGGGACAAAAGUUGUAGUAGAAAUAGGAGAUGGAUACGAAAGACUUGACACAAUGGGACUAGUAUUGUCUGGAUACAACUGUGAAAGAAUAGUAGAAUCAUGGGAAGUAAAAUGAGUAGGAAAAAGUUUAGAAAGAGGUGUAGGAUAGGAAAAAGGGAAAACAAUUUCAACGAACUUAACAUCUCUAGACACAAAAAUUUAUUUGUUUAUCAAGUUCAAAAUCUUGUAACCUUUCUUCCUAAAAUGAUACCUAACAAAAAUUCCAGGCAAAACCCUAGGAUCUAAUUUAUCCCUAUUUCUAGCUAAUGUAGAGUUGAAACAUAAGCAUCCAAAAGUUCUAAGAAAACUAUAAGCUGGUUCUUUGUCAAAAAGAACUUGAUAAGGAGUUUUGUGAUGUAGGACUUUGGUGAGAAAUCUUUUUAUUAGAUGAGUACCAGUCAAGGGUGCAUCACCCCAAUAUUUUUUAGGGGCAUGAGAGUGAAACAAUAAAACUCUAACUGAUUUCAAAAGGUGUUUAUGCUUACGCUCCACAAUCCCAUUUUGUUGUGGGCAUGCUAUACAAGAUGUUUGAAGGAUUAUUACUUGAGAGCAUAAAAAUGUCCUGGUACCUAAUUCAAAAGCGUUGUCUGAUUUAUUAAUUUUUACUCGGGUGGAGAAUUAUCUUUCCACAAGUGAGGGAAAGAAUUUUAAAAUAGGAAAUGCACUGGAUUUGAUGCUAAGAAGGAAAGUCCAAAUGAUACUAGAAAACAAGGAGCUCACGAAGUGACUCAAAACAUUCUACAAACACACACCAAAACAGUCCACAAAUCACUAAGAUCUUUGGACCGAUUGAAGACCUCUCUCGGAUUCACAACAUAACACUAGAAUGAGAAGAUAACAAGGUGUUUGAAACCUAUUUAAGCCAACCCAAACUAGAUUAAUAACACAUAAAAUGAAGAAUAAUAAGACAACAAUUUCGGCCAACAAGAACAAACACAAAUCGAAAGUAGAGAACAAGAACAACACAACAAGUUUGCAAGAAUGAAAAGGAUAGACAGUUAGACAAAGAUUAUGAACCAAGUAUAUUUCAACACUAACCCCUAAUGAAUGUAAUAAUCAACACACACUCUUAUGGUGACCGCCAAGAGAACCAACGCACCUCAAGAUCCACCGUUUCCAAGCAAAGGUCAAUACUAGCUUAUCCAAGCCCUAAACUACAAUGGUUAUUCCAAGCCCUAACUAAGACUAAACUAAGGUGUUCUACUCUCAAAGAGAGGACUUUCAAUGUUUCAAUAUUUCAUCAUUCAUAAACUAAUGAGAAAAGACCUAAAAUGUUCUAUUUUUAUUAUUACAAGACAAGACAAAAAUGACAACAAUACCCUUAAUGGGUGGGUGGCCAUGGAGUGCAUUUGGGGCAAGUGAAAGACCAAAAUGCCCUUAAUAAGGUGACCAAACCAUGAGCCAUUAAGUGUUAUCCAAAUUCGUGAGUCUUCAAGUCUUCAAUGCCCCAAGCAAUCUUCCACUCACGGCCUUGUUUAUGCUCAAAACGGGUCCUCCAUGCAUGUCAAUAUGUCUUUGAGGUGACCACAUCUUUAUUUUCUAGGUGUUGGCCUCUAAAGAUGUCAUCAAAAGAUAAAAUGGCCAUAUGACUUGUAUCAUUCUCCAAUUCUUGAAAAGGAUUCGACCUCGAAUCCGAACCUUACAAAACCAAUGAGAGGACAAACAAAUACAAACUCCUCAUGGCAUGAGGGUUAGGGUUAGCAAAACAAAUUAUCUCAACAUGCCAAGGUUGCACAUAUUUGCAAUAUAACCAAGGAUCCUUUGAAUUUAAUAUUAAAACCUCAAUGAAAGUUGCACAAAGAAUUUGGUUACGAGAAUCACCAAGAGAUAAAGAAGCUACAAGGGUCCUAAUGGCAUCACUUGGUCCAAAAGGUAGAAUUAGGAUCUCAUGAGAAGCAAGAAAGAAUUGCCCUUUUAUCCCUUCAGGAGACCACAACAAAGGUAGUGAUUCAAUUGGUUCUAAAGUCCACGAGAUCCAUAUAGCAUUAUUACUCACAUAAGUGGACUUACCAAUAAAUCCUACCUCUACAUAAAAUAAAUCCAAAACUAGUAUAGAUGUCAUCAUAGGCAAAGAGGUAGUAUAAGAGAGAAUCAAGUGUAGAGGCAUACACGGAUGAAUGCAAAUCUCUUAAACAUAUACAUUUUCCUUCCUUCAAACAAAUAAACAACUCGGUAUCCAUAAGUUGAUAUUCACGUAAUUCAAGCACAAGUGUGUCAAUCAAGGAUGCGCAUUUAGAAAUAUUACCCCAAGGAGUCAAUGACACCUUUGUCCUCGGGUUUUCAAGAAGGACUACAUAUUCCUUACCCUUAAAAGUACUUUCAUCUUUCAAAAAGAGAUUUCCAUCUUUAGGAGGAAUGUUGUCAUACCAAAGUGGGUUAGCAUAUCGGCUAUAGCUUCCAAGGCAAGCUAUACCAUCAUUGUCACCACUAGGUUCAUUAGGAGUGAUUAUAUCUUCUUCAAACAAGGAAUUAUACCUAAAGAGAGCAUGAUCUAACCCACGGGCAUAUUUGGAACAAGUAAGUUCUUCACUCUUUAAAAGACAAUUGUCAAGUUUCAAGGAGGUUUCACGCACAAGAUUACCCCACGAAUAGCUCUCGAGUUCACUCCCAUCUUGUUGGCCAACAAUUCAAAGUACUUCACUCACUUGAGUUCUAUUAAGCACAUUACACAUAUACUCGAAUGGUGGAUAAUUUUUACAAAUAAAUGGGUCAACAUAAUUUUCACACGAUGAUGUACUUUCAUUCAACACUAGGUGGACAUAAAUCGACCUUAUAAGAAGAGUCAAUUCGAUCAUCUAUAGGAUCAACUAGUGUAUCCACUCGUAUAACAUGUACAUCAUCCACAAGUGGCAAAGAAUCAUUAGACUCACAAGUAAGUAAGCUACAACUAAUACUCAGUGGGCUACUAUCCACACAAUUAUCAAUCACACGCACCAAAGUGUAAGAGUUAGCUAUUUUACCUUGAAGAUAUUAAGUAGAUUCUUCUUUGCUGGGGUGUGAAGGUCCUCCACAAGCUUGAGCAGCAACUUUCUUUUGGCAUUGUUCGACUUCGCUUGUCAUAUUAGUACCUACACAAAUGUCCUUAGAAAUAGAAGGACAACCAAUGUUAGCAUGGGUUGGUGGUAAUCCCCUCACUUCGCUCUAUACAACCUUUCUUUUUCCUACUCUCAGAUUACCACCUUUCACUCUCUUACUCUUCUCAAUCUUUUAUCUCUUAUAAUAAUUCAGAUUAGAGGAGGUAGGCAUUUUUCUUUGCGGCUUGGGCAGCAAGUAAGUCAUGAGGCAAUUCUCCCAUUGGUCUCUUACAACAUUAGACCAAUUUUGCAUAUUAGAAACUUGAUGCCACGCAGACCAAUCGACACCUAAGUAUACAUGACCGUAGGCCAAGGAAAAAAUAUCGUACCACACCUCCUUACGAUAUUCAUAUUGGGAGAAGACAACUUUUACCCUCUCGGUAACCUUGAACCCGUCCAAUGAGUAUGGAACAAGUAAAGGCUCUCGAAACAACCCCAAGUAGUUAACCAUGGACGGAAGGAUGUAGUUUCUAUAGUACCUAUAAUUCAACACAAUAAGGCAGCCCGGUAUCCCAUAAAUGGUCACUUUUUCGGAGUGUAUACUCCUUCUCAGAUCAAUAUUAUAAGGCACAUAAGUACCCCUCGGUUUUGGAGAUGCACCCCCUCUUCUUCUUGUUGGACAACCUCCACUUGAACUAGUAUAACCAUUCACACUAUAUUGACCUUGAUAAGAAGUAAUACAAGGUGAAGAAUAUGAAUCUUCACACUCCUCACGUGUACUCUCAUAAUAGCUCUCAUAAGCUUUGCAAAUGAAAGAGUUAUACCUAACACCAAAUCUAGGUUCGGAGUGGGGAGGGUAGGACUCCUCACAUGCCUCAACGUUAUCAUAAGAACCAUCAUGAGGUCCUACAUCAUCUCCAAAUUCACCAUAAGCACUAGGUACUUCAUUCCCCUUAUUUUCUCCCCUAAAAUUGUGUCCCUCAAAACUUUCCAAGUUUUGAUCAUGACUAUUUUCAUAGCCUCCGCAAUAUCCCUCAACUUCGUAGCCACAAAACCGCUCACUACAAUCAUAGUCUCCCAUGUUGUAGUCACAAUAAUCCCCGGCUAUCGAAGACAUGUUCCCCUUAUAUCACCUUUGUACCUACACAAUGAACAAACAAGAAUAGUAGUAAAAGCUCCUCACCAACACUCGUAUACACUCACAUUUGUGAUUCUCACAAUUGGAGAGGCGAAUAUUGAAAGUUGCAUUUACUCUGGUAGUCAAUAGGAUGUCAAUUUUACUUGGCGGACGGAAUGGAUUCUUGUUUGAUCGACUCAAGACACAAAAAUAAAAUUUACUUACAAACUUUAAACAAAGAUGUUACUACGAGUUAAAAAUGAGAAAAACACACAAAUAACGAAGACACGAAAAAAAUGGGUUCAACAAUUAGUCUACAACUAAGUGGGUGAUUACUAGUUGUUAAUUAAUUCUAUAAUCAAGACAUGAAACUAAUGAAACAAUAAAAUAAAACUAAGAAUCUAAAAUUUGAGCUUAAUUAAAGUUGCAUGAACAGUAAAAAUGAUGACAUGGCAGCCACGUAUUGGUUGCGGUUUCUAUAAUUUUAUUUUCCAAAAGUCCAAGUCUUGACCCAUUUUUAAUUUGGAUUGGUGGAAUUUGUUUUAAGGAGGGAAGAAUAAGACUUGGGGCCUUUUUUCAAGUUUCAAAUUUCAAGACUUGACUUUUGUAGUUCUUUCCUUAAAACAUGGACCCUUGUAUCAUGGAAAGUUGUUGGGAAAUGGUUAAUAAAGUCUAUAGUGGUUGUAGUAUUUUUCAAGACUAACAAGUCACACAUCUUUUUCCUUCACCUUUAUGGAUCUAAAGUUCACUUUAUCUUAAAAAAUAUAUGAAGGUGGUGAUGAACACCAAGAGCAACAACAACAUCCACCAAGAAUAACAACAACAAUCUUUAAGAACAACAAUAAUUUCACACGGCCACUUCCAAAUUCCGCAAUAACAAUAUCUUUAACACUUGGCCAAGACAAAUACAGCUUCAACAAAAUGGUUCUUAGGACACCAAUUAACAACAAAAUCAUAUGGUCAAGCCUAGAACAACAACAAGGUGAAUACCACACGGUCAAAGUGAAGCCACAACAACAAAAACAUCUAAAACACUUUCAAGUUCACAACAACAUCAACAAUGUAAGCUCAAACUUAGAUUUAGACACAAAGUGUUAGUGAAUGAUAAAACUAACACUAGAAACACUCAAUACAAGUAAAAAUAUCAGCCAAGACACAACAAGAAUGCACUUUCGGCCAAGAACACAAGAACGGACAGAUAUGCUUCUUUUUUUAUUUUUUAGAUUUCAACACUUUUUUUUAUUUUUCAACUAACAAUCCCAAGAUUGAUCUUGUGGGAACAAGAUCAAGCCAUGCUUUGAUACCAAAUGAUACAAGAAAACAAGAAGCUCACAAAGUGACUCAAAAUAGUUCACAAAUACACUCCAAAACAAUCCACAAAUCACUAAAAUCCUUGGAUCGAUUGGACACCUCUCUCGGAUUCACAACACAACACUAGAAUAAGAAGAUAACAAGGUGUUUGACACCUAUUUUAGCCAACCCAAACUAGCUUAACAACACAUAAAAUGAAGAAUAAGAAGGCAAUAAUUUUGGCCAAUAAGAACAAGCACAAAUCGAGAGUAGAGAACAAGAACAACACAACAAGUUUGUAAGAAUGAAAAUGAUAGAUAGUGAAACAAGGAUUAUUACAAGAUUAAGAACCAAGUGUAUUUCAACACUAACCCCUAAUGAAUGUAAUAAUCAACACCACACUCUUAAGGUGACCGCCAAGGGAACCAACACACCAUAAGAUCCAUUGUUCUCGAGCAAAGGCCAAUACUAGCUUUUCCAAGCUCUAAAAUACAAUGGCUAUUUCAAGCCCUAAAUAAGACUAAACUAAGGUGUUCUUCUCUCAAAGAGAGGACUUUCAAUAUUUUAAUAUUUCAUCAUUCAUAAACUAAUGAGAAAAGACCUAAAAUGUUCUAUUUAUAUUAUUAUAAGACAAGACAAAAAUGACAACAAUACCCUUAAUGGGUGGGAUAGCCAUGGAGUGCAUUUGGGCCAAGUGAAGCGACCAAAGUGCCCUUAAUGAGGUGACCAAACCAUGAGCCAUUAAGUGUUAUCCAAAUCCGUGAGUCCUCAAGUCUUCAAUGCUCGAAGCAAUCUUCCACUUACGACCUUGUUUAUGCUCAAAACGGGUCCUCCAUGCAUGCCCAUGUGUCCUCGAGGUGACCACGUUUGGAUUUUCUAGGUGUUGGCCUCUAAAGAUGUCAUUAAAAGAUAAGACGACCAUUUUGACUUCUAUCAGUCCAAGUUCUUCUUAAGAAAUCAUCUACGAUAGUAAGAAAGUAUGUCUCACCCUUAUAGGUAGGUGUUUUGCUAGGUACCCAAGUGUCAAUAUGUAUUAAUUCAAAAUAGUGACUAGAAGUAAUGCAUCUAUUAGGAAAAGGGACUUUAGUUUGUCUUGCCAAAGUACAAAUGGUACAAGAAAUUUCUUUGUUGUUUGUAAUGUUAAUUGCUAAUAUUUCCUUAAUGCAUUUAUAGCAUUAAAGGUAAGUGCCCGAAUCGACCAUUCCAUAAAUUUUAUAAAACCGUAACAUUAGAAACUAAAAUUUUCUCAUUAUCUUUAAAAUUUGCAGGAUAAACAAAACUCUGAAUACUAGAGCAUGAAGCUCUUAGACAAACUGGAAUAGGAAAAGAACUAGACUCUAGAGAACUAGACUUAAGCAAUCCAUCAGAAAGAAACAUUGAAGUAAUGGACUUACUAGAUUAUCUUGUAAUGAAUGUGAAGCUCCUUGUAGCACAUAUAAACCAGUACAGGCAUCACGAAAAGCUACCUCCAUCAAACAAGGGUCCUGUAAAAUACAACUAAUUUUGAUAAAUGUCAGACUACAAUCAAAUUGCUCAUAUACUCUACUGACUGAGAGUAAAUUAUGUUUGAAUACAAGAACAAGAAGAACAUCAUGAAGAAUAAUAUUAUGUGUUAAUUUUAUCUUGCCUACACAUGUCACAGGGACUUUAUGAAAGUUAGGUAAAUGAAUCAUUAUUGAUGAUUUAAGAACAUAACAUCAUGCAGUAAGGAUUCAUUAAAAGUCAUAUAUUGUGUUGCUCCUGAAUCAAUGAUCCAAGAUUUGUUAGGAGACUUAAAAGAAGAAGAUGAAAUGAUUUUACAAGCAGUUUGCAUACCAGCCGUGUUCACGCUUGCAUUGAGCUCAAAAUUUGAGGUACUGGAACUACCUUCCUGCAUGGACUGAAAUAUAUGAAUGAUCUGUUCACAUUGUUCCUUCGUGAAACUUUGAUUUACAACUGAGUUUGAUAGAGUAUUUCCCUCUUUUCCUGUGUUGAUGAAAUCAUGUGCCUCUAGUGUAUUUGCUUGUUGAGUACCAAAAAUGUCUUUUCCUUGUUUGUUAAUUUUGUAAUGUUUGGAAAUCCGACCAUCUUAUAACAUUGUUCCUUCUCAUGUCCUGUUUUCUUGUAGUACCUGCAAUACAUAUCACUUUUCUUUGCUUGAUAUUGGCAUGUUUGCCUAUUCUUCAUAGGUUUCCUCUAAGAGUUGUGAGAGUGCUAGGAUAUCCAUUUGUGUUCAGUCAUAAAAGCAAAAAAAUCAGUAGUUAUCUCAUGGUUAGAAUGUAUCUCUCGCUGUGUUUCUUGGUGUAGUAUGAUAGAGUAUGUUUGUGUUGUAUUUAGUAAGGGCCUCACAUCAAAAUGUUUCCCCACACUGCAGUGUAUGAUUCAUUGAGUCUCAUCAAAAACUGUAUCAACUUCUGAUUUUUAAGAAUUUUAUGGUUAUGCUCCUUAGCUCCACAAGUGCAGUCACAGGAAUAGGUCAUCAAAGUGUUUAUCUCCUUAUCUGAUCCCAAAUCCUCUGUAAUUUAGUGAAGUAGGAUACUACAUCAAUGGAUCCUUGAGUGAUCAUGUUUAGCUUUCUUUGAAGCUGAAAUAGCUUAGCUCCAUCUGCCUGUCCAUAUCGCUCUCCAUCUCAUUCGAUAGAUCUACAAUAGUUAAUGAAUAGAUAACACUCUCAGCUAUUUUUCAGCUUAAAGAGUUCAAUAGCCAAGAGAAGAUCAUGCCAUUACAACGAGUUCAUUGAGCAAACAUUGUUGAAUCCUUUCUUGGUGGUUUGCAGGUUUCAUUAAUGAAAACUACUUUGUUUUUGGCUGACAAGGAGAUCAAGACACCUCUCUUCCAGUUGCCAUAAUUGGUACCAUCAAAGAUGUUGUUUAUGAGGCUCAUUUCUAUCGACUCACAUGAAAAUAGAAAGUAGGGAUGAGAGAUAUCGAUCUUGUUUGCAUUAUCCUUUAUAGUCGUUGUUUCAGCCAUAGCUUUUGUGUUUUAGGAAAAAAAUAUGGAAGAGUAGUGAGCUUAAAGCUCUGAUACCAUGAAAGAAUUUAAGAGAAAUAACAUUCCAUUAAAAAUUAUUUCUGUACAGUGCAAACUGAUCCUAUUUAUACACCAGAAAAAUUGCCAGCUCUAUGUUAUCCUAACAAACUCCAAACAAACUCAAACUAUAGAAAACACAAAAUAAAAUGUAUAUACAUGAUAUUAUACUAAAAUACCCCUUCCAUACUUAUUCUAGAUUAUAUACACCUGGCAAGGCUAUAAACGUGUUCAACAUAAAGGAAAGGAAUCAACUUCUAUGUCUUCUUUGUAUCACCUCUUCUUUAGACUUUAAGUCACAUCUUUAGCUUUUUCUUCCUUUCUCUGCACAUGGUGAACCACCGGAGACUCUGUCGGAGAUAAUUUAACAGCAACAAGUCUCGAAUUUCGUGUUCUAGGUUUCAAAUGAGGCCAAAGGUUGGGAGUCAAACCGGAAGACUCGAGCCUGAUGAAUUGAAUGAGAGGAUCAUUAUUCGGUCAAGUUGGGUUGGUCAUGACCCAACCCAUUUUUAGCGCAUUUCAAUCUAAGUAAUUUUUGCGUUGGUUUCAUUCGAACACAUUUAUUAACUCGCCCUAUUUUAAUUUGCUCAAUUUCAGUUUAAAUCCAUUCAUUUGACACCCCUAAGUCUUGGGUAUUAAAUCGUCUUUGUGAAAGGAUGUUCUAUUCAGCACAAAUUCAAAUUUAGUCUCGAUAUGAAUAUAGAACAUCCGAUGAAAAAAACAAAAACUCAAUAGUGUGCAUUCACUAAUAACGAUAUAUAUCUUAUAUUUUUAUUAUAAAAAUAGUUUAAAAUAUUUAAAUAUAAUUAUGCACUUCCUUAUUAUAAUUUAAAUAAUUUUAAUAUAAUAAAGUAAAAUUAAAUCACUCGUCACUUCAAUUUAGGGUUUGUCCGGUAAGAAAGGAAAAUGUUUUUCCCAAAAAUAAUUUUUCUUGAAAAAUAAUUGCAUUUCUUAUUUAUUUUCUUAUAUUAUAUGCACAUAAACAAAAAAAUAUUACUUCAAAAUUAUUUACACAUAAUUUAGACAAAAAACAUGAAAGGUGAGUGGAGAUAGGCCAGGAUGAGUGAAGAUGGAUGUGUUGAAAGUGGAGAAGAGGCUAUCGAUACAAAAUAUAAUUUUUAAAAAUUAUUUUUUCUUACUUCGACUAAAAAAAGUAAUUUUUUCAGUUUUAAGAGACUUUAUUUUUAAAAACUUUUAAUAAAUCAAUUACUGGAAAUAAGAAAAUUAUUUCAAAUAAUGUCAAAAGAAGCAAAGAGGGCACUUCACUUCACAUCUCUCACUCUACUUUUUAGCAGCCAAUGAUAAAGUAGACUUGACCAUAAAUUUAAAGAAAUUGGCCUCUCACUCAUAGUUAUGUCCCACUUUAUAAAUACAUAGCCAAUUAUGUCCCUACAAACUAACAUGCCUUAAAUUUGGGUUAUCUUAUUGGUCAUUGCUUGGAAUAGCAACUUUGACAAGAUAAAGACAACUUCAUAAUUCUCAACUACUUUUGAUAAUUUCUGAAAUAAAGUUAGGGGAAAAGUUCUAAUUCCUUCCAAAAUAAUAAUUGUAGUAAUUAUUUUGUGCGGCUGCCUUUCUUAUUAAAUAAAUUCUCAUCUUAAAUUGGGUGCAAGGACAAUUUUUCCUCAGAUAACUGCAUUCUGUCUUGUCGAGUUGAUCAAAAAUAAAAAAGAAAAUUUCGUAAGGACUUUUUUGUUAUAAUAUUAAUAUAGUAAGUAAUUAUCAAUAUUAUUUCUAAUUAAAGAUUGAGUUUGAAUUCUGACAGAAAAAAACUAGGGAUGCCUUCAUUAUUCUAGCCAUUAUUGUCACUAGAACGUCCCUGCAGCUGUUUUGAAUUAGUCUUUUCCUUUUAGUUUUUUCAAUCCCCGGGUGUUUGAUAUACGCAUUUUAAUUUUUAUUAAUUGUAAUUUGUGUUACGUAAAGUUGAUUAAAAUGAGAACAUUCUCUAUCAAAACAUUUUUUUAAGGUAUUAAAACUGCAAUCUUCAAUAGAAAGGAUAAUUUUUUUGUGAGAUUUUAACACCUCUUGAUAUGGAGAAAAUUUUGUUAGGAGCGUUAUCUCCUUAAUGGACCCUAUAAUGCACGAUUCGAAUUAGUCAGGGCUCCAAUAAGGGCACCGGAUAGUGAGUGGAAAACUAAGAAAAAAAAAAAUAGUUUUUUUUUUUUUUGAAGACUUUUCCUUUUUUUUGUAUAUUAAAAAAAGAAAAAACUUAGGCAAAGCCGCAAUCUUGGAGUGAAAGGAAGGAAAACAAAAGGGCCAAUAGAUCAGUGUAUCUGGCGGCGGCUGCAAAUUCAUUUUUUAAAAAUAUUUAUAUUUAUUUAGCUUAAUAAAUAGUACUUAUAGAGUAUUUUAAAUUAGUUAAUAAAUUUUAUUUAUACACUUAACGUAUAAUUUUGUUUAAUAGUACACUUAACUGUGUAAUAAAUAUUCAUAUUACACUUUUUAAUUUAUAAUUUAGAAAAAAAUUGUGUAUAUUUUCAAGUUCCAUUAGGUAAACAAGUUAAAACUUAACAUAUAAUACUUUUUUUUAAUUAUGUACGUUAGUCUCAGUAAGCAGCAAAACCUUAGAAAUGAUCUAAUUGAAUCUGAUUUGUAUAAUUAGAGAAGAUGAGAUAUAUUUUAUAUUAUUAAAUUAACUACAUAAAAAUAUUUGAGAACAUGCACAAAAAUAUUUUUAAAAUUUCAAAUACAAUGUCUAAUAAAAAUAUUUUAUCAUGUGUUCAUGAGAAUUAUUAAAAUAACUUAUAUUUUAAAUAUUUAAAUAAAAUUUAUUAAUAAAUUUAAGAGAUUUUCUAUUCUAUUAAUUAACCAUACUCACUUUUUCCUAUACGUCUCCUAAAUGUUUUAUUUAUCGAGUGAAGGGUCAAGCAAAUAAAACAUAAGUUUAAGGCAACAAAACUCUUGAGACUUCCAAAGUUAAAAAUAGUAAUUACAAAUAAGUAUUGCAGUCAAACUAAUAUACACAUUUGAAUAUAAUUUUUUUCCUUUAAAUUAAAUCUUCGUACUUGAAUUUACUAUAUGUAUGACAGUAAUGAUGAUUACCGUAAAUAUUUUGUAUAUAAUAUACUAUUUCUUAUAAAAUAUUAUUACAUCAUAUUUGAUUAUAUUGUUAUAUAGAGGUAAUUUUACAAAGAGUGUACCACUAUAACAAACGACAUUAUUAUUGUAAAUAGAAUAUCGUUAUAAAAUAAUAAAAUAUAAUAUAAAAAAUUUAUGCUAAAAAUUAGAUUGUUAUAAUAAAGUGUCUGAAAGUAACGUUAUAGAAACUCUCACGGUAUAACUUGUUUCUUUAUAAACAUAACGAGGUUUGGAAGAAAACAAAUACUCGCUGAAUAGAUAUCUGGAAAGUUCUAAUAUGUUCUAGAAAUCAGAUAAGAGGGGAAUUUUUUUUUUUAAAAAAAAAAAAGACCUAAAGGAGUACAAUCAAGUGAGCGACGUAGAGACUUGAAGAAAUAAUAUCACUGGAAUUGACCAAAUCGUCCAAAGGAAUAAAGAUCGUAAAAACUUUCACCAACUUAAAAAAAAAAUAAAAAAAAAAAUGAAAUGAUUAAUUUAUUUAAAACCUUUUGAUCAUUUUUUAUUCAUCAAUUGUACUUUGAAUUUUUCUUCUAUUUUCUAAAAUAAUCAUGAAGUAGAUAACUUUUAAUUUAAAAUUCGAAACACAGAUUAAAAUUGCAAUAAUCUCAAAGUUAAAGUUACAUUUAAUAAAAUUUACAGCUCAUAUAUUAAAGCUUUGAUGUUUUCUUAAAUCCGUGUUCAAACACCUGACUAUUAGAUUAAAUUUGGAUUGUUUGUUUGAAACAUACGAGUUUAAUUAUUUGAAUAUUAAAGUUUAAAAUACAAACUUGAAAAUUUCAAAUUUAUAUAAUUUCUAAGUUGUUAGAAAAAUCUUUCCUCUGCCCAUCCCAACCCCACUUAACUUAUCUAAUGGGCCAUUGACUGUGUAAAAUUAUCAUUUUAGAAAAAAUCAUCUUGCCCAAUUAAAAAGCUAAAAAUUACACAAAUACAUUACUUAUGUUUUCAAUAUUACAAAAAAUCUUAACUCCCAAAUUUCAAUUAUAGAGCUCUUAAUUGUAACUUUUAUAACAACAGUUUCAUAAUUACGAAAAAAUAAUUAUAUUUUGUAUUUAAGUAAACUGUUGCUAUACAGAUACAUAUACAACAAGAUUUAUUGUCCUUGUUUUACUCAAAUUAGUUGAGUUAAAUAGGGAAUAAUUAUUUCAUCUAAUUAAAUUUUCAUAAAUUACUCUUAUUUAAAUUAGUAGAUUUCUUUUCCAAAUCAAACUCAAAUAUGAAAAAUUAUUAUUUUCAUGAUCUUUAAAAUUUUGAAAUAUCAUUCUCUUAUAUUUUUAACUAUUUUUUCUUGUUGGUUUUUUCAUUUUUUUAAGCUUUUUUUUUAUUUUAAUUUCUUUCUCAUUUUUUUCUUUUCACUUUAUUUUCUUUCUUCUACUUCUCUCUUUUUUUCCUUUUUCGUUUUUUAUUUAUUUUUUUCUUUUUUCGUUUUCUUUUUUUCCUUUCUCAUAUUUUUUUUGUUUUAUUCUUCUUCUUCUUUUUUUAAAUUUUUUUCGCUUUUACUUUUACACUUCUAUUCCUGAUUUUUAUUUCUCUUUCUUCUUCUUUUUUUCUUUUUCACUUUUGUUUUUGUUUCUUGUUUUUUCUUAUUUUUUUUAUUUUUUUUACUCUUCUAUCUCUAUAUUUUAUUUUUAAAAGACAAAUAUCUAUAUCAUAUAUAUAUUAUUUACGAUUAAAAACAUACAUAUAUAGCUACAUGUGUAUUUACGAAAAUACAUAUCUGACUCACGUGUCUAUAUAAAUAUAUAGGACACAAAAUCUCUAUAAUAAAAAUGAUAAUUAUAUACAUAUACAUAUAGAUAAUUAAAAAAUACAUGAUACAUAUCUUAAACAGUAAAAAAAAAACAAAUAAGUACAUAUGUUACGCUCUAAAAUAACAUAGUAUGUACAGUUCAAAGACAAAUUCAACACUGUAUAAAAUACAUAUAGCUCUGCAUAUGUAUUUACAGAAUACAUACUUGAUCCAUAUAUAUAUUAUUAUUUUAUAUGAGUCACCUUUGUAUUUUGCAAAUACGUAUGAAGAUAUAUAAUAUAGUUAUGUUUGUUACUGUUUAAUAUAAAUAUGAUAUGUAUUUCGUAAAUACAUAUCAGGGUCAUAUUUGUAUUUUUUGUAUAGUAAUAUACAUAUGGAUCAGGCAUGUAUUCUGUAAAUACAUAUGCAGAGUUAUAUAUAUUUUUUUGUAAUGUAAUAUAUAUUAUGUAAAAAAAAAACAUAUUCAUACUAUGAUUUUGUAUUAUAUUUUUGUGAAAAGUACAUGUAAUGUAAAUUUAUGUCAUUAUUUUGUUCUAUAGAUGUUGCGUGAUCAGAUAUUCAUGACAAGAGUAUUUCCAAAGUUUGCACCACACAUAGAAUGUCACACAGUCAGUGAUAUUGAAGAACGUAUUAAGGCGAUGUUAUCAAAGGAGCCGUACAUGAUUUUUUGUCAUAAGAAUAUAUGUGGUGACUACAUGAACAAGAAGAAAUAUGUAGUUCAACCGCAAUUAGACAGAAGUAUUAUGUCACAAAUGUAUUAUAAAUCUUUUGGGGUAUGUGCAUUUUUUGUAUUUUAUAUAUAUAAAUGCAUAUCUACAUGUAUUUUGUACGGUGUUGGAUUUGUCUUUGAACUGUUCUAUGUCAUUCUAGAUGGUAACAUAUGUAGUUAUUUAUAUUUUUUUAUUGUUUAAAAUAUGUAUCAUGUAUUUUCUGAUUACCUUUAUGUAUAUGUAUAUAGUUGUCCUUUGUGUUGUAGAGAUUUUGUGUCCUAUAGGUUUAUAGAUACAUAUGAGUGAGAUAUGUAUUUCUGUAAAUGCAUAUGAAGAUACAUAUGUAUGUUUUGUACUGUAAAUACAUAUCCAGCUUUGUAUGAUUAUGUAUUUUGUAUGUUUUUUGAAUAUGUGUAUGUGAUAUACAUACUUGUCUUUUCAAAACAAAAGUUACAGAUAGAAGAGUAAAAAAAUGAAAAAAAAAAUAUAAAAAGAAAAAAAGGAAAAAAGAGAAGUUAAAAAGAAAAAAAGGAAGAAAUAGAAAUAGAAAUGUAAAAAAAAAAUAGAAAAAAAAAGAAGAAAACAAAAAUAGAAAAAGAAAAAGAAUAUAUGAGAAAGGAAAAAAACAAAAAACGAAAAAGGAAAAAAAGAGAAAUAGAAGAGAGAAAAUAAAGUGGAAAGAAAAAAGAAAAAGAAAAAAAAUCAAAAUAAAAAAAUCAAAUGAUAAAAAAAUAAGAUGAAAAAGAUUAAUAAGAAAAAAAAUGUAGAGAUAUAAGAGAGUGAAAGACAUAAUGAUGUUUUAUUUUAAAAUUUUGAAGAUCAUGGAGAUAAUUAUCUUCAAAUAUAAAAAAGAAAAAAACAAAAUAAAAUAAUAAAAUGUUAAAAAAAAAAAAGAUGAAACAAAAAGGUAAAAUAUAUAACUAUAUUUGGAGGAGGUGAAAUAGUGAAGUGAAAAUAGAAAAAUGUAAAGUAACGAGAGUAAAACAUGUACUUGUCUAGUUAAUGAAUAAAAUAAUAUUAUUCUUGCUAUAAAUUGUAAUUUUACAAAAGUAUCGUUAUUUAUUGUAAUUAUAAUCUUAAAUAUGUUACUUUCUGUAAUUUUUCCUUAAAAGAACCUCGAUUAAACUAGAUUUCUGAAUUAGUGGGCUUUACUUGGAUGUGUACCACCACACAUUGUUUCUAGCUUAGCUAUAUUAUUAGUGUAAAUAAUAUAAAUAUCAACCCUUUUGGAAGUAAUUACACUCUCUUCUAUUUUUUGAAUUACUUUACUCUCUCUUCUUAUUAAUAUACAUAACAUAAUCGACAUAUACAUAACAUUUUGUGUAUAUGUUGAGAUUUUUCUAAUAUGUUUAGGGAGUUGAAAUUUUUUGUAAUAUUGAAAACAUAAAUUGUGUGUUUAUGUAAUUUUUAGAUAUUAUUACUGACGCAUAGGUUUAAUAAUUUGUUGGAGAUAUUUAAAAGACAUAUUUUAACUAAGCUAGGUGUUUGGAUACAAUAUCAUGAAUAAAGGAUUGAAAAUACAAAUUGAUGCAAGUACAAUUAUCUAUUUGUCUAUUCAACUUAUUAACAAUUAUAGUAUUGAUUUUAGUUACAAUUUUUUAAUUAGUCUUCAUUUUUAGAAGGGUAAUACGACAAGGAUCGGAGAUAACAAGUGAUGUAUUGUGAAAAUACGAUACAUUUGAUAAUAAUUACACGAGCUUAUGCUAUUUCUUAAAUACCUUGUGUGUCGUUUCUCAUGUGUUUUAAUUUAUAGUUUUGUAGGAUUUAAAAAUUAAAAUACUAAAAAGGCAAACAGAUAAAGUACCUAAAGAAAGACGAUGAGGAAUGCAUAAUCAAAAUAUGUAUGAUGUUUAAAUAGCUAGAGUUGUGGGAUUAAGAUGUUUACUAUGUAUUUGAUGAUUUUGAUAGUAUGCUUUGUUUUUAACUUUGGAGGCUGUAAACAUUAAAAGAAUGUUACUAUAUUCCUUCUUUGCUUGAGAAGAGAAGUUUGAGUUUGGUGAGGCCUAAUUGAAAUAAAUUAAUUAUAUUUUAUAAACAUUUGAAGAUUUCAAAGAGCUUAAGAGCAAAUUUUGACAAGCAAGAUGAGAGACUUAUGAAAUUUAAGAAAUUUGAUACUUACGUUUUUUGGUUUUCCAAACAGGUCCUUUAACUGUUCUUAGUUUUACCUUAUUUUAGAAUGAUGUGCAUAGUUUAAUGAUAAUAUAUAUUUCUUUUAAAUAAAAGUUACUUUAACGAGAUACUUGCACAAGUUCAAUAACAAAUUAAGGAAUUAACUCCAUCAUCUAGCUCAAUCUUAUCAUUAGAACAUAAAUCUGAUCAGCAACUAAAAGUAUUUAAUUAAUAUAUUAUAAUCAAAUAAGAUUAUUUGACUAAAUUACACGAUAAAAGAUUAGAAGCACAAAUCGAUAUGGUGAUAACUAUUUAUUUGACUAUUCUAUUAAUUUUAAAAAUUAAAAUCAUGAUCAACAUAAAAUUAGUCUUCAUUUUAAAACAGAUAAUACGAUAAUAAUCGGGAUGACAAAAAAUCAUUUUAGUAGUAAUAUCAAUUCCAACAAACCCCCCCCCCCCCCCCCCCACACAAAAAAAAAAAGAAAGAAAAAUUAUCCAAACAAUAAAUGAAAAUAACAAUAAAGAAUACAAUAAAAAUAAAUCAAAGUUAACCAAUAUGAAUUGUGGUGUACUGAUAUAAUUGUUCCACCUAGGGGUGGGCAUUCGGUACUUCGGUUAGAGUUCGAUUUUUUAUUUCGAUUUUUUUGAUUUUUGGUUAUGAAAUUAAGUGUACCAAAAAACGAACCGCAUUAGUUCGUUCGAUUCGAUUUAUGUAAAUUUCAAUUUGAUUCUAUUUCGAUUUAAUAAUUUUGAUUUUUCGGUUUUGGGCCUAUUUAAUGAGCUAAAUUAUAUUUGUAAAUCGAACUAGUUUAACUUUCUUACAUUAAGAAAAAAAAAUAAUAUAAACUUAUAAAGUCUUCUAGGUGACAAACGAGAAUAAUCAUCUCCAAUGCAAAAAUCAGAUGGAGGACUAUAUAUUAACUUUCGGUUGCAAAAAUCAAUGCAAAAAGUAACUUUCGACUUCGGUUGUUGGAUGUAUUUGUAUUUUGAGGCUUUGAGUUGUAGGCAAUAGUGAGCUGUAGCUAAAGUGUAAAUAGCUAAUGAGCGUAGAUAUUAUAAAUAUUAUAUGAUAAAUAUAUAUUAUAUAUAUUAAUAUAUAUUAUAAUUUAAAAAGUAUAUUAAAAACAUUGUUUUAUUUCGAUUUAAACUGAAAAUCGAAUUACGUCAACAUAAAAGUCAAAUCAAAAUAUUGAAUUUAUAGAAAAAUAAAUCAAAAGAACUCUUUGAUCAUAAUUCUCCAUAUGAAUGCUGCUUCGAACAUGAAACUUGUGGUUAGUAGUAAAACACCGAUUCACUCGUUGAGACCUAACCCCCUCGAGAUUUUUUCUUACAAAGUUUUGCUAUAGCAUCUAUGACCGCUUCUGGUUUAGGUAGGCAACCUUACAAAUAUACAUCUACAGAAAUUAGCUUGUCGACUCCCCGAAUAGUACUAUAAGAAUCGUACUGAACAUCCCACUUAUAAUUGCACAGGUUUCCAUAACAAUAACAUAUUUUGGUUCAGGCAUUUGGGGGGUCAUUUUCAUUGUUACUGUUCCAGCCGUUAAAAUUAGAUCCAUUUGUCAUUUUGAUACUAGUUCAUAACGAUCAAAGUCGAAGCGUGAAUUUAUUAGUGAAGCAAAUUCAAUGAAGCAACAGUUGGUACCAUAGAGAAUUCGAAUUGAAAACCCAAAAAAAUGAAAUUAAAAAAUCAAAAUAAUUCUAUUUAGUUCAAUAUUUUGAUUUUCAUGCGCACCCCAAGUUUCACCUUUAAUCAGAUAUUUCAGAUUCGAAUCAUAAAAAUAAAAAAAAUUUUGUGAAUAGAGUUACUCCCAAAAUAAGUCUUGCAAUACGUGUUUGUAUUAAUUGAGACACCAAUAUCAAUGCCAAACACCUUGCAAAGGAAAAAAAGGACGAGGCUAAAAUAUAAAAAAGAAAAUCUUACAAUAAAGACAAAAACAGUUAUUUUGCUGUUAGAGAUUUUUUAUUGGUAGCUGAAACUGAGUAGCCUAUCCUGUAAAUAAGUACCCAUUAGGGGACAAUAUGGGAAUUUCAAACUUUUCAACUCCACAAAUGGACAAAAAUAGUGGCUCAUCCAGCAAAUACUCACAACAUCAAGGACAAAAACGUAAAAUGGCAAGGAGCAACAAGACUCCGAAAAUGUUAUAAUAUUGGAUGAGUGAAAUAAUUAAAUACAGCAUAAAAUCGAUAAUGGAGAUCUCUUUGUAAAUGGCGGUGUCGACUAGUUCCCGAGUCCAACUCCUCCACUUGCUAUUUCAAUACGCGUUAACCAGCUAACUUGCGCAGUUUCGUCGGAGUGAUUUUACGGUCACCGGACAGUGAAAUAGACGCCCGCCGUUAAUAUUGACGACGAUGAUGAAUGCUAAUGGAUUUAGCGGUGUGGAGAAAGAGUAUAUAAGGAAACAUCAUCUUCAUCAGCCUAAGGAGAAUCAAUGCAGUUCGUUUUUAGUCAAGCACAUUCGAGCACCUGUUCAUCUUGUUCGUCUUCCUAUUUCUCUUUUUUUGUUAUAUAAUAUAUACUUUGUGUGGAGUUGUGAAUGUAUUUGCAUUUUUGUUUUUGUGUAGAUCGAUUGAUUUUAUUUUCAGCUGUGUGUUAAUCUUCUCGAGAUUGAUUAUUUUUUUAGAAAAUAUCUUUAAGCUAAAACGUUAGAUUCGUUAUAUUUUCCAUUUUUGUGGAUAUAGUGACCAGUUUCCUGAUUUGUAUUGAUCCGUGUUCUGUUUUCCCCUUUUUAUGUAAAAAGAAAAUACUCUAUCCAUAGCUAUGUAUGUGACACCGUUGGAAUUUCGAGAGUGAAUCAAGUUUUUCUUUUGACUGAAAUUUUCUUAUAUAUUUUUAGUAUAUUUUUAGUUGUCAAUGAUUGUGAUUUUGACAUAGUUUUCAAAUGUAUUAUUUCAAAUAAAAAAAUUUUAAAGCUUCUUGUUCGAAUUCACCGGCAAAACUUAGAAGUUUGAUACUCGAAAUAUCAAAGGAGUACGACGUCACUAGGUUUUGAUUUUGGGCCAGAACGGUGAGGUUCCUUCUUAGUUUUGUGUUUUGGUUGAAUUUGUAUAGAAGAUGAAACCGAGGAAAGUUGAAUUUGUUUCCUAUUUUAGGUCAAGCAAAAAUUGCUAUCUUCUUUGAGUGCCAGUCUAUUAGCUUUUUAUCCAGUCUUGAAAGUGACUCUUACUACUCGUUUAGUUAGUUGUAUCAGAAAUAAUCCUAACAUAAAACUCUUCAUCGCUAAUGCAAUGCUGUAUAAGGUAUAAAGUACGAACUCUCUCUCCAUAUAUUGUACUUAUCAUGGAAUGAGAAUACAUAAAUUAGAAUUAUCAAGGAUUAGUUCUAUAGUAUUUUGACAUGACUUCUUUACUCCUGUUAAUUCUUUUUUUCUUGAGCCAAGUGUCUAUUGGAAACAACCUCUUACCUCCCAAGGUAGGGGUAAGGUAUGCAUAUGCAUAUGUUGUUGUUGUUGUAGAAUUAACAGGAUUAGCUAAGUCUUGAUUUGGCAUCGCAUGCUGCUUAAUUAAUUGUGUAAUAAACUAUGAUCAUCCACGGCAAAACAUCUCAUGUAUUAUCAUCUUUCCAUGGCAAACCUAAUUUUGCAUAACUAGGUCGUGAACCAAAAGAUUCCUUGAAGAACUACCUAAUGCAAGUGCUUAUAGUGAAUAGAGACAACAGGCUAAAUGCAUGGGCA
rnacentral:lncRNA from 1 species